ACCAACUCUGAAACACUGCUCCAAAUUAAAACCCCGGCCCUCUUUCACUUUUCCCCCCAAAAAAAUACAACGAACCCUAGCUCUGGAUUCCAUCUCAAUAUAUAACAUUGUCUGGUGAUUACAAACCCUAGCUCGGGAUUUCAUCUGUGCAAUAUCAGAAAUUAAAGAAGAAAAGGAGAAAGUAUACAAGAAGUUGGUAAUUCAUUCAUGUCCUAAGACCUUACUGUUGAGCUUCUUUAUGCACAAAUGAACUUUCGUAAAUGCUAUGGGUUGACAUGGAGAAAGAAGGUAUAUAUGGAUGAACACUGACAUUGAAACUAAAGACUGCAUCAUUUGAGGUCAGAAAUCAAGCUGUGACUUUGCAGAGCUAUAGACAGUCAAGUAGAGAGAUACUGAUACAUGCUUUAAAGCUUCUCAAGGCUGAACUUCCUGUAUCUUAGACUGAGGGUUGAGAAACUUUGCAGAUGUUGUUGUUAGCCUUUGAGUCUCCACAUUGCAACGAGCUUACAUCUACGGCCCGUGUCUCAAGUAAAGAUGCAUCCCAAACACAGGAAAUAACCGAUAUGACGAUGUGGCCGGGGUUGACAACAUAUUUGGCUGAUGGAUUUCUAUUUUCUAAUGCAGUUUUCUGAAAGAUUGUCGUAUAGGAGCUUAAAAAUAAUAACUUGUAUUCAAGAAUCUUCAUGUCAGAGUUUACAUUCUUUUAUCAUAUGUCAGUUAAUAUUUUGGAGUGCCGAAUAGUA